GAUGAACGCUGGCGGCGUGCUUAACACAUGCAAGUCGAACGAUGAACCUCACUUGUGGGGGGAUUAGUGGCGAACGGGUGAGUAACACGUGAGUAACCUGCCCUUGACUCUGGGAUAAGCCUGGGAAACCGGGUCUAAUACUGGAUACGACCUUCUGGCGCAUGCCAUGUUGGUGGAAAGCUUUUGUGGUUUUGGAUGGACUCGCGGCCUAUCAGCUUGUUGGUGGGGUAAUGGCCUACCAAGGCGACGACGGGUAGCCGGCCUGAGAGGGUGACCGGCCACACUGGGACUGAGACACGGCCCAGACUCCUACGGGAGGCAGCAGUGGGGAAUAUUGCACAAUGGGCGCAAGCCUGAUGCAGCGACGCCGCGUGAGGGAUGGAGGCCUGCGGGUUGUAAACCUCUUUCAGUAGGGAAGAAGCCGGCUUUUGGGUUGGUGACGGUACCUGCAGAAGAAGCGCCGGCUAACUACGUG
rnacentral:rRNA from 1 species